UACGUAGGGUGCGAGCGUUGUCCGGAAUUAUUGGGCGUAAAGAGCUUGUAGGCGGUUUGUCGCGUCUGCCGUGAAAAUUCGAGGCUCAACCUCGAACUUGCGGUGGGUACGGGCAGACUAGAGUGUGGUAGGGGAGACUGGAAUUCCUGGUGUAGCGGUGAAAUGCGCAGAUAUCGGGAGGAACGCCAAUGGCGAAGGCAGCUCGCUGGGACGUUACUGACGCUGAGACGCGAAAGCGUGGGGAGCAAACAGG
rnacentral:rRNA from 1 species